rnacentral:lncRNA from 1 species
CACUGUGGAAGGUCGACUGCUGGAGGAGUCCGGAUGGUACUGUAGAAGUUCGGAUUGUCGGAGGAGUUCGAAAGACGCCGCACAAGGUCGGAAGCCAGAAGAGUCCUGGGAGGGUUGGCCUCUUAUGAACUUUGGCUGGGGUUAUUUUAUACCCAAACUAGUCCCCCUACUUUUGAGUUCGGGUUUCGAAUGAAGAAAGUACAGAAAAAUUUUUACAGUCGAAGUUGCCUCCCUUAGAGACUGAGGAUUUUUGACAAGAGUUUUCUUCCUCAUUGAGA